rnacentral:rRNA from 1 species
UACGGAGGGUGCGAGCGUUGUCCGGAAUCACUGGGCGUAAAGGGCGCGUAGGCGGCGUGGUAAGUCAGCUGUGAAAUCUCCGAGCUUAACUCGGAACGGUCAGCUGAUACUGCUGUGCUAGAGUACAGAAGGGGCAAUCGGAAUUCUUGGUGUAGCGGUGAAAUGCGUAGAUAUCAAGAGGAACACCUGAGGCGAAGGCGGGUUGCUAGGCUGAUACUGACGCUGAGGCGCGAAAGCUAGGGUAGCAAACGGG